rnacentral:snRNA from 10 species
AUGCUUGCUUCAGCAGCACAUAUACUAAAAUGGGAACAAUACAAAGAAGAUUAGCAUGGCCCUUGCUCAAGGAUGA